UACGUAGGUGGCAAGCGUUGUCCGGAUUUACUGGGCGUAAAGAGCGCGCAGGCGGUCGAUCAAGUCGCGUGUGAAAGCCCCCGGCUCAACUGGGGAGGGUCACGCGAUACUGAUCGACUCGAAGGCAGGAGAGGGUAGUGGAAUUCCCGGUGUAGUGGUGAAAUGCGUAGAUAUCGGGAGGAACAUCAGUGGCGAAGGCGACUACCUGGCCUGUUCUUGACGCUGAGGCGCGAAAGCUAGGGGAGCAAACGGG
rnacentral:rRNA from 1 species